rnacentral:lncRNA from 1 species
AGAGAGCAAGGGGAGGAGGAGAGGAGAGAAGUGAAGAGGGGACGGGAGAGUAGGAAAGCAGAGGAGAGGGGAGGGGAGAGAGGGAAGGAGAGGAGGCUGAAAUAUAAGAAACCUCACAGUUUCAGGUUAGAUUGAGAAACGUUGGGCACAAUUUGGAAGACAGAAGAGAAGACAUGAUUUUUCCACUGCACUUGUGAGAAGACACAUAGGCACUAAGCAAGUGCUCUUUGACAGAAAUCCCAGAUCAUGAACAUACAUGAAAAUAUUCAUGGAGAAUUGUCUCCUACCAAAUUUUAUGGAAAACUCAUAUUUCAAAAAAAGACACGUCUAAGAAUGAGGCCAAGCUACAUUUGACAGCAUUUCUCCCCUAUCAUUUUAAACUGAAAAUCCCAAGACUGAUAAAAUUUCAAAACUAAGCUGAAAUAAGAAGAAGGAAAAUAGUGUUUCCGGUGUUUAUCAUUCCACUGGCCCAACAACAACAGCCAAUCAUAUUCAACUGAAAUAAUUUCAAAUUACUUAUUUAAUACUAGAUGUAUGCCAACUAGGAUAUUAGAUAUAAAAAUACCAAGUAAUAUAAUUUAUGUCUUUAAGUUCAAUAGCUACCAGGGAACAUAGACAUGUUAACAAUUAAUUAUAAAACAAUCCUAGAGUGUCUUUUUUAAUUGUGUUUACAAAGUUUUAUCAAAGCCUAGGGGAAUCAGUCACUUGGUUUUACACAAGUUAUUUGGUCAAGUGAACUUUUUUUUUUUUUUUUCACAGAUUGAAGCAUCUGACUAUUUCUAACACUGUGAUCCACAGUAUUAAGACAAUUAAAAUGCCAUAUUUAGGGAAUAUAUAAAUGUAUUAUUUUUCUUUAUGCAAAUUUCAAGUUGUUUAUUAUAUUCAGAAUGAGAAACAUUACAAAUAUAGAAAAUGCUGCAAAGUCAGCUUGGUUUUUGUACUUUCAUAUGAACUAGUCUCUGAGUACCCAGAUUAAUUAGCUAAUCACUGCAUUGUCAAGUCUCUAUAAUGCUCUCUGCUGUAUCCUAUCACUGACUUUUUCUGGGUUAAGAUUUAUUUUGGGAAUUGAGAGCCAAGGCUGGAACACACUGAACAGAGUGUUCUAUUUCUGUGUGAAAUGAUAGAUGUUGCUCUUGCCCAGAAUGAAAAUGCUUUGCACUGCUCCCAAUCUGUAAAUUGUUCCAUUUGCUUGGCAUAAUAAGUAUACUGAUGUAUUUAAUUCUGUCUACCAGGCCCAUGCUGUUCAAUUCCCCUCUGCUAGCCAAAUAUACCAGAAGUCAUAAAUUUCUCUCCAAUAAGGAAACUAAAUGUGAUCUCUUCUAUAAGUAAAAGCAGUGUUAGUGUCCUGUUAUUAUUUUUUGGAGUUACCGUAUGUUUUAAAUCCAAGAUUAGCAAAAGAUUUGUUAUAAUCUUUUCACUUUUAUCAACUACUUAGUCCAGCAAACAUACCGACAAAAUAAUUGUAUAUGCUCAAAGGUACAGUCUGUGGAAAUGAUUCGAUGUUUGUAUAACUACCACUUUCUUUCAAAAUGAACCUUCAUUUUGUUCUCUCCUUUUCACAUACAUCAAAUGAAAAAAAGACUGUUUUGACUUCAUAUAUUAAAAGAUGAAAUGACU